rnacentral:rRNA from 1 species
CCUACGGGAGGCAGCAGUGGGGAAUUUUGGACAAUGGGCGCAAGCCUGAUCCAGCAAUGCCGCGUGAGUGAAGAAGGCCUUCGGGUUGUAAAGCUCUUUUGUCAGGGAAGAAACGGCUGAGGCUAAUACCUUCGGCUAAUGACGGUACCUGAAGAAUAAGCACCGGCUAACUACGUGCCAGCAGCCGCGGUAAUACGUAGGGUGCAAGCGUUAAUCGGAAUUACUGGGCGUAAAGCGUGCGCAGGCGGUUUUGUAAGUCUGACGUGAAAUCCCCGGGCUCAACCUGGGAAUUGCGUUGGAGACUGCAAGGCUGGAGUCUGGCAGAGGGGGGUAGAAUUCCACGUGUAGCAGUGAAAUGCGUAGAGAUGUGGAGGAACACCGAUGGCGAAGGCAGCCCCCUGGGUCAAGACUGACGCUCAUGCACGAAAGCGUGGGGAGCAAACAGGAUUAGAUACCCUGGUAGUCCACGCCCUAAACGAUGUCUACUAGUUGUCGGGUCUUAAUUGACUUGGUAACGCAGCUAACGCGUGAAGUAGACCGCCUGGGGAGUACGGUCGCAAGAUUAAAACGUCAAAGGAUUGACGG